UACGUAGGUGGCAAGCGUUGUCCGGAAUUAUUGGGCGUAAAGCCCGCGCAGGUGGUUUCUUAAGUCUGAUGUGAAAGCCCACGGCUCAACCGUGGAGGGUCAUUGGAAACUGGGGAACUUGAGUGCAGAAGAGGAAAGUGGAAUUCCCGGUGUAGCAGUGAAAUGCGUAGAGAUCGGGAGGAACAUCAGUUGCGAAGGCGGCUCUCUGGACCAGGACUGACACUGAGGCACGAAAGGGUGGGGAGCAAACAGG
rnacentral:rRNA from 1 species